rnacentral:rRNA from 1 species
UACGUAGGGGGCUAGCGUUAUCCAGAUUUACUGGGCGUAAAGGGUGCGUAGGUGGUUUCUUAAGUCAGAAGUGAAAGGCUACGGCUUAACCGUAGUAAGCUUUUGAAACUGGGAAACUUGAGUGCAGGAGAGGAAAGUGGAAUUCCUAGUGUAGCGGUGAAAUGCGUAGAUAUUAGGAGGAACACCAGUAGCGAAGGCGGCUUUCUGGACUGUAACUGACACUGAGGCACGAAAGCGUGGGGAGCAAACAGG